rnacentral:tRNA from 1 species
UCCUUAGAAAAGUGGGCAUCGAACCCACAAUUAAGAAAUCAAAAUUCUUUGUAUUUCCAUUAUACUACUC